GACGUAGGGCGCGAGCGUUGUCCGGAUUUAUUGGGCGUAAAGAGCUCGUAGGCGGUUUGUCGCGUCGUUCGUGAAAACUCACAGCUUAACUGUGAGCUUGCGGUCGAUACGGGCAGGCUAGAGUUCGGUAGGGGAGACUGGAAUUCCUGGUGUAGCGGUGAAAUGCGCAGAUGUCAGGAGGAACACCGGUGGCGAAGGCGGGUCUCUGGGCCACUACUGACGCUGAGGCGCGAAAGCGUGGGGAGCAAACAGG
rnacentral:rRNA from 1 species